UACGAAGGGGGCUAGCGUUGCUCGGAAUGACUGGGCGUAAAGGGCGCGUAGGCGGAUGGCACAGUCAGAUGUGAAAUUCCCGGGCUAACCUGGGGCUGCAUUUGAUACGUGUUGUCUAGAGUGAGGAAGAGGGUUGUGGAAUUCCCAGUGUAGAGGUGAAUUCGUAGAUAUUGGGAAGAACACCGGUGGCGAAGGCGGCAACCUGGUCCUUGACUGACGCUGAGGCGCGAAAGCGUGGGGAGCAAACAGG
rnacentral:rRNA from 1 species